GGCUCAGAACGAACGCUGGUGGCGUGUCUUAUACAUGCAAGUCGAGCGAGGCAGCAAUGCCGAGCGGCGAACGGGUGAGUAACGCGUAAGCAAUCCUGCCCCCAUAGUCAGGAAAUACCCGUGCCAACGCGCGGUUAAUGUCCAGGAGAGUGGCCCUCUGCAUGGAGGGUUGACUAGAGAUUUAUCGGUAUGGGAUGAGCUUGCGUCCGAUUAGCUAGUGGCGGGGCAACGGCCCACCAAGGCGACGAUCGGUAGCCGGCCUGAGAGGGUGAUCGGCCACAUUGGGACUGAGAUACGGCCCAGACUCCUACGGGAGGCAGCAGUAGGGAAUAUUGCACAAUGGGGGAAACCCUGAUGCAGCAACGCCACGUGUGGGAAGAAGCAUUUCGGUGUGUAAACCACUGUCAUGAGGGAAUAAGGCCCGCCUUCGGGCGGAUUGAAUGUACCUUGAGAGGAAGCACCGGCAAACUUCGUGCCAGCCGCGGC
rnacentral:rRNA from 1 species